UAAUAAGUGUUUUAUGGCACUUUUUAAAUCCAUAUCCACCUUGUGUGCAAUGUCAGUUGAUCUUCUUCAUGGAGAUCGACCAAACAUCAACCUUUAUCUUUUAACUCUUUGUCUGAAAAAUAUUAUGAAUAAACAAUUCAAAAUA
rnacentral:misc_RNA from 1 species